rnacentral:rRNA from 1 species
GAUGAACGCUGGCGGCGUGCCUAAUACAUGCAAGUCGAGCGAACAGACGAGGAGCUUACUCCUCUGACGUUAGCGGCGGACGGGUGAGUAACACGUGGAUAACCUACCUAUAAGACUGGGAUAACUUCGGGAAACCGGAGCUAAUACCGGAUAACAUGUUGAACCGCAUGGUUCAACAGUGAAAGACGGUCUUGCUGUCACUUAUAGAUGGAUCCGCGUCGCAUUAGCUAGUUGGUAAGGUAACGGCUUACCAAGGCAACGAUGCGUAGCCGACCUGAGAGGGUGAUCGGCCACACUGGAACUGAGACACGGUCCAGACUCCUACGGGAGGCAGCAGUAGGGAAUCUUCCGCAAUGGGCAAAAGCCUGACGGAGCAACGCCGCGUGAGUGAAGAAGGUCUUCGGAUCGUAAAACUCUGUUAUUAGGGAAGAACAAAUGUGUAAGUAACUAUGCACGUCUUGACGGUACCUAAUCAGAAAGCCACGGCUAACUACGUGCCAGCAGCCGCGGUAAUACGUAGGUGGCAAGCGUUAUCCGGAAUUAUUGGGCGUAAGCGCGCGUAGGCGGUUUUUUAAGUCUGAUGUGAAAGCCCACGGCUCAACCGUGGAGGGUCAUUGGAAACUGGAAAACUUGAGUGCAGAAGAGGAAAGUGGAAUUCCAUGUGUAGCGGUGAAAUGCGCAGAGAUAUGGAGGAACACCAGUGGCGAAGGCGACUUUCUGGUCUGUAACUGACGCUGAUGUGCGAAAGCGUGGGGAUCAAACAGGAUUAGAUACCCUGGUAGUCCACGCCGUAAACGAUGAGUGCUAAGUGUUAGGGGGGUUCCGCCCCUUAGUGCUGCAGCUAACGCAUUAAGCACUCCGCCUGGGGAGUACGACCGCAAGGUUGAAACUCAAAGGAAUUGACGGGGACCCGCACAAGCGGUGGAGCAUGUGGUUUAAUUCGAAGCAACGCGAAGAACCUUACCAAAUCUUGACAUCCUCUGACCCCUCUAGAGAUAGAGUUUUCCCCUUCGGGGGACAGAGUGACAGGUGGUGCAUGGUUGUCGUCAGCUCGUGUCGUGAGAUGUUGGGUUAAGUCCCGCAACGAGCGCAACCCUUAAGCUUAGUUGCCAUCAUUAAGUUGGGCACUCUAAGUUGACUGCCGGUGACAAACCGGAGGAAGGUGGGGAUGACGUCAAAUCAUCAUGCCCCUUAUGAUUUGGGCUACACACGUGCUACAAUGGACAAUACAAAGGGUAGCGAAACCGCGAGGUCAAGCAAAUCCCAUAAAGUUGUUCUCAGUUCGGAUUGUAGUCUGCAACUCGACUACAUGAAGCUGGAAUCGCUAGUAAUCGUAGAUCAGCAUGCUACGGUGAAUACGUUCCCGGGUCU